UACGAAGGGGGCUAGCGUUGCUCGGAAUCACUGGGCGUAAAGGGUGCGUAGGCGGGUCUUUAAGUCAGGGGUGAAAUCCUGGAGCUCAACUCCAGAACUGCCUUUGAUACUGAGGAUCUUGAGUUCGGGAGAGGUGAGUGGAACUCCGAGUGUAGAGGUGAAAUUCGUAGAUAUUCGGAAGAACACCAGUGGCGAAGGCGACUCACUGGCCCGAUACUGACGCUGAGGCGCGAAAGCGUGGGGAGCAAACAGG
rnacentral:rRNA from 1 species